UGAGGUUUCCCCUCAAGCCUGGCAGGAAAACAAAGAGGGAAAUAUGAGCAUGAUCACUGAAAUAACAAUUGCUUUAAUGCAUUAUCAGGCACAAUGAUUUCCUGGUGGCAAAAGGAUGAUGGAGUGAGGCCGGCAGGGACUGCGGGAAGGCGGCACACGGCAUUCCAAGAGGAACACGGGCAGAGAAGAAAACCUGUUCCCUUGGUCUCCAUGCAGAAGAUUCCCGGAGCCAGCUGUGUCCUCGGGAGCAGCAGAUGAAGGCAAAACUAUGGAAAGAAGAGCAAAACUCCCCAAAAGCCCCGGAGUGCAGAGCUGCCAGCGCUCCUGCAGCAGCCUGCCGCAGUCCGGGGAUUUCCCUUCCUGUCUCCAAGCCAGCUCCUCAAAGAGCCGAUCCCUGCCGAGUGUCUGCUCCCGGGGAAAAGCUGGAUGUUCUCCACUGGAGUGCCUGCUGGCAAGAGGGAUGAACAGCCUGGGAAGGGCAGGGCUGUGGAGAGGGGAGCCUACCGCUCUCUGCCCGCUCCUCGCUGGGACCGGCAGCACAAAGAGGAUGGAGUCAGGGAUCGGAGAUAUCGGAACCUGCCUGGGGGCGGGAUCUGUCCCGGUCCCCGUGGCUCGUUCAGCAUCCUGAAGCCGUGGGAGCUGCCGGGAGUCGGGAUGGGAGCAGGAGAGGUCAUGUUUGCCUCCACUUGCUGUUGGAGAGGUGGACUAGGCUCUCCAUUCCCACCAGAGGACAGCCAGGGAUCCAACUCCAGCACAAAUCCCUGUUCCAGCUGCACCAAGCUCAGUGUCUCCAUGACAAGCAGCAUCUCCAUGGACAGAUCUCCCUUGAACUGGGCAGGUUCAGCCCCCCAGCCCCCUCCCCAUCCUUCUGGCCUCUCUGGGCUGGGAGGCAGCCCUGGCUGGGCCGUGCCCGGGAAGCGGAGCCGGCUGGGAUAACGCGGCUCCGGGCACGGCUGCUGUGGGCUGCGGCCACUGGGGCAGGAUUUUACAUGACCCAACAGCUCUUUGUGGCUGCUUUUAUGGCAAAUAUGCACAAGAAGAUACUGGAGCUGAGGAGAAAAGGGUUUCAGAGCCAGCAUGAGCCUUCAGGUGGUUCCUCAUUCCCGAGCUGGGUUAUUUUCCUACAGAAUUACAUUGCUUUGGUUGGGGAUUUUUUAAUAAAGGAGAA
rnacentral:lncRNA from 1 species